rnacentral:tRNA from 2 species
GCGGACGUGGCGAAAUCGGUAGACGCAGGAGACUUAAAAUCUCCCUCUUCGGAAUGCGGGUUCGAGUCCCGCCGUCCGCACCA